rnacentral:rRNA from 1 species
CCUACGGGUGGCAGCAGUGAGGAAUAUUGGUCAAUGGCCGCAGGGCUGAACCAGCCAAGUCGCGUGAGGGAUGACGGUCCUAUGGAUCGUAAACCUCUUUUGUCAGGGAGCAAAGGCCGCCACGUGUGGCCUUUUGCGAGUACCUGAAGAAAAAGCAUCGGCUAACUCCGUGCCAGCAGCCGCGGUAAUACGGAGGAUGCGAGCGUUAUCCGGAUUUAUUGGGUUUAAAGGGUGCGCAGGCGGAAUGUCAAGUCAGCGGUAAAAUGUCGGGGCUCAACCCCGUCGGGCCGUUGAAACUGGCGGUCUUGAGUGAGCGAGAAGUAUGCGGAAUGCGUGGUGUAGCGGUGAAAUGCAUAGAUAUCACGCAGAACUCCGAUUGCGAAGGCAGCAUACCGGCGCUCAACUGACGCUGAUGCACGAAAGCGUGGGUAUCGAACAGGAUUAGAUACCCGUGUAGUC